UGCAGGAUGGCUGAGCGUAGGCGAAAGAUUGUAGCUCUUUUUACGAGUUUUCUCUCUUGUAA
rnacentral:tRNA from 1 species